rnacentral:rRNA from 1 species
CUCGUAGGCGGUUCGUCGCGUCCGGUGUGAAAGUCCAUCGCUUAACGGUGGAUCCGCGCCGGGUACGGGCGGGCUUGAGUGCGGUAGGGGAGACUGGAAUUCCCGGUGUAACGGUGGAAUGUGUAGAUAUCGGGAAGAACACCAAUGGCGAAGGCAGGUCUCUGCGCCGUCACUGACGCUGAGGAGCGAAAGCGUGGGGAGCGAACA